GAUGAACGCUGGCGGCGUGCCUAAUACAUGCAAGUCGAGCGAACAGAUGAGGAGCUUGCUCCUCUGACGUUAGCGGCGGACGGGUGAGUAACACGUGGAUAACCUACCUAUAAGACUGGGAUAACUUCGGGAAACCGGAGCUAAUACCGGAUAAUAUAUUGAACCGCAUGGUUCAAUAGUGAAAGACGGUUUUGCCGUCACUUAUAGAUGGAUCCGCGCCGCAUUAGCUAGUUGGUAAGGUAACGGCUUACCAAGGCAACGAUGCGUAGCCGACCUGAGAGGGUGAUCGGCCACACUGGAACUGAGACACGGUCCAGACUCCUACGGGAGGCAGCAGUAGGGAAUCUUCCGCAAUGGGCGAAAGCCUGACGGAGCAACGCCGCGUGAGUGAUGAAGGUCUUCGGAUCGUAAAACUCUGUUAUUAGGGAAGAACAAAUGUGUAAGUAACGAUGCACGUCUUGACGGUACCUAAGCAGAAAGCCACGGCUAACUACGU
rnacentral:rRNA from 1 species